UACGGAAGGUCCGGGCGUUAUCCGGAUUUAUUGGGUUUAAAGGGAGCGCAGGCGGAAGGGUAAGCGUGACGUGAAAUGUAGCCGCUCAACGGCUGAACUGCGUCGCGAACUGUCCUUCUUGAGUGAGUACGACGCGGACGGAAUUCGUGGUGUAGCGGUGAAAUGCUUAGAUAUCACGAAGAACCCCGAUUGCGAAGGCAGUCCGCGAGUCCUUUACUGACGCUAAAGCUCGAAGGUGCGGGUAUCGAAC
rnacentral:rRNA from 1 species